CAGUCGAACGAUGACGGAGGAGCUUGCUCCUCCUGAUUAGUGGCGAACGGGUGAGUAAUACGUGAGCAAUGUGCCCUUGACUCUGGGAUAAGCGCUGGAAACGGCGUCUAAUACCGGAUACGACGAUCGGAGGCAUCUCCUGGUCGUGGAAAGAACUUCGGUCAAGGAUCAGCUCACGGCCUAUCAGUUAGUUGGUGAGGUAAUGGCUCACCAAGACGACGACGGGUAGCCGGCCUGAGAGGGUGACCGGCCACACUGGGACUGAGACACGGCCCAGACUCCUACGGGAGGCAGCAGUGGGGAAUAUUGCACAAUGGGCGCAAGCCUGAUGCAGCAACGCCGCGUGAGGGACGAAGGCCUUCGGGUUGUAAACCUCUUUUAGCAGGGAAGAAGCGAAAGUGACGGUACCUGCAGAAAAAGCACCGGCUAACUACGUGCCAGCAGCCGCGGUAAUACGUAGGGUGCAAGCGUUGUCCGGAAUUAUUGGGCGUAAAGAGYUCGUAGGCGGUUUGUCACGUCUGCUGUGAAAACCCGAGGCUCAACCUCGGGCUUGCAGUGGGUACGGGCAGACUAGAGUGCGGUAGGGGAGAUUGGAAUUCCUGGUGUAGCGGUGGAAUGCGCAGAUAUCAGGAGGAACACCGAUGGCGAAGGCAGAUCUCUGGGCCGUAACUGACGCUGAGGAGCGAAAGCAUGGGGAGCAAACAGGCUUAGAUACCCUGGUAGUCCAUGCCGUAAACGUUGGGAACUAGAUGUGGGGACCAUUCCACGGUCUCCGUGUCGUAGCUAACGCAUUAAGUUCCCCGCCUGGGGAGUACGGCCGCAAGGCUAAAACUCAAAGGAAUUGACGGGGGCCCGCACAAGCGGCGGAGCAUGCGGAUUAAUUCGAUGCAACGCGAAGAACCUUACCAAGGCUUGACAUAUACGAGAACGCGCUGGAGACAGCGAACUCUUUGGACACUCGUAUACAGGUGGUGCAUGGUUGUCGUCAGCUCGUGUCGUGAGAUGUUGGGUUAAGUCCCCAACGAGCGCAACCCUCGUCCUAUGUUGCCAGCACGUAAUGGUGGGAACUCAUGGGAUACUGCCGGGGUCAACUCGGAGGAAGGUGGGGAUGAGGUCAAAUCAUCAUGCCCCUUAUGUCUUGGGCUUCACGCAUGCUACAAUGGCCGGUACAAUGGGCUGCAAUACCGUAAGGUGGAGCGAAUCCCAAAAAGCCGGUCUCAGUUCGGAUUGAGGUCUGCAACUCGACCUCAUGAAGUCGGAGUCGCUAGUAAUCGAGUCAGCANC
rnacentral:rRNA from 1 species